rnacentral:rRNA from 1 species
UACGGAGGGGGCAAGCGUUAUUCGGAAUUAUUGGGCGUAAAGGGCGCGUAGGCGGCUAGAUGUGUCAAAGGUGAAAUCCCUCGGCUCAACUGAGGAACUGCCUUUGAAACUGUCUGGCUUGAGGCCGGGAGAGGGUAGCGGAAUUCCCAGUGUAGCGGUGAAAUGCGUAGAUAUUGGGAGGAACACCAGUGGCGAAGGCGGCUACCUGGACCGGUUCUGACGCUGAGGCGCGAAAGCGUGGGUAGCAACCAGG